rnacentral:snRNA from 1 species
UUUUUGGGCGCGGGAGUUGGACCCGGAGCUUGCUCCCUCCGCUCCGCGCAUCGUCCCGGUAUGGCAGUACCUCCGGGCACGGUGCACCUCCC